rnacentral:rRNA from 1 species
AGCGAACGCUGGCGGCAGGCCUAACACAUGCAAGUCGAACGAACCUUUCGGGGUUAGUGGCGGACGGGUGAGUAACACGUGGGAACGUGCCUUUAGGUUCGGAAUAACUCAGGGAAACUUGUGCUAAUACCGAAUGUGCCCUUCGGGGGAAAGAUUAAUCGCCUUUAGAGCGGCCCGCGUCUGAUUAGCUAGUUGGUUGAGGUAAUGGCUCACCAAGGCGACGAUCAGUAGCUGGUCUGAGAGGAUGAUCAGCCACAUUGGGACUGAGACACGGCCCAAACUCCUACGGGAGGCAGCAGUGGGGAAUCUUGCGCAAUGGGCGAAAGCCUGACGCAGCCAUGCCGCGUGAAUGAUGAAGGUCUUAGGAUUGUAAAAUUCUUUCACCGGGGACGAUAAUGACGGUACCCGGAGAAAAAGCCCCGGCUAACUUCGUG